rnacentral:tRNA from 1 species
AGUUUUAUAGUCAAUAAAAAUGAUAUUAGAUUGCAAAUCUAAAGUAGUAAAAUAUUAUAUACUAAGGCUU